AACAUCACAUUUCCCCUAUAAAACCCAUAACCGUACUGUAGAAAGAGCGAAGCUUUCAUGGCGUGCCUUGUCUGCAUCAGUUUUUCUUUGCCGCACGCUGCUUCACAAACCCUAAUUGAGCUGGUGUUUUGAGUUAAUGCUUGGCGGGACUUUCCUUCAGGAAAAGAAUCAAAGGAAAUCAGCUGUGGGCAGACUUUCAAGUCAAGCAACCACUAGAACAGGAAUGAAGCUUCUUACACCCAUUACCUCAGAUAGAAGCAUUUCUUCUGUGGAGGACUGGAGCUUCCUUCCCCAUAAAAUGGCGCCCGGGAGACGAUUUUGGGAACCUGUUUCACUUCAUUUGAAUGUAAGUGCUGGCACAGAGACUGUAAUAUGUGGUUACUGGGUAGGACCGGAUAUUGAAGAUGGCUGGGGUUUUGUAAACGCUUUUGUAAAUCAAAUUCUUUGAUUUCUGAAGGUUGUUGAACGGUUUUCCAUGGC